CACAAUCAGAAUAAGAGAAAAAAAGGGGGAAAACGAAAUCGGAGAGCUUCUCCCCGGGCCUCGGAUCUCCUAGAUCGACAGCCGGCCUUGGAUCGAGUUUCCCGUCCAUCGACAACCCUCGCGAAGAACAACCCCCAAAUCGGCCAAACGAACUGGUACUCUCUUCUCUCUCUCUGGGACGAAACGAAGCAUUUUGGGCUUGAGGAGGUGCUGCGCUGAACCGGAGCUUUGUCCAGAAAUUUCAGGGUACUUAUGACCAGUUAGCAUUUCAAGGAUUUUCAUCUCAAGCUUCAACGAAUAUGGCAAUGUCCCCUUAUAAUAGUGAUGGAUGAUCAAAUAUUGUUUAAUCUUGGAAUCCUCCAUUUUUUUUUUUUUUCUUUUUUGUUUGAAACACUUAUGGUUCAAGGAUUUAGACUUUUCUGUUUUAUGAAUAUCAUUUAUGUUUAUUUCAGAGUUACAUUCAUUGUUAUAUUGUUUAAUUAACAUGCAUGGUUUAUGCAGGU